rnacentral:rRNA from 1 species
CCUAAGGUAGCGAAAUUCCUUGUCGGGUAAGUUCCGACCUGCACGAAUGGCGUAAUGAUGGCCAGGCUGUCUCCACCCGAGACUCAGUGAAAUUGAACUCGCUGUGAAGAUGCAGUGUACCCGCGGCAAGACGGAAAGACCCCGUGAACCUUUACUAUAGCUUGACACUGAACAUUGAGCCUUGAUGUGUAGGAUAGGUGGGAGGCUUUGAAGCGUGGACGCCAGUCUGCGUGGAGCCAACCUUGAAAUACCACCCUUUAAUGUUUGAUGUUCUAACGUUGGCCCCUUAUCGGGGUUGCGGACAGUGUCUGGUGGGUAGUUUGACUGGGGCGGUCUCCUCCCAAAGCGUAACGGAGGAGCACGAAGGUUAGCUAAUCCUGGUCGGACAUCAGGAGGUUAGUGCAAUGGCAUAAGCUAGCUUGACUGCGAGCGUGACGGCGCGAGCAGGUGCGAAAGCAGGUCAUAGUGAUCCGGUGGUUCUGAAUGGAAGGGCCAUCGCUCAACGGAUAAAAGGUACUCCGGGGAUAACAGGCUGAUACCGCCCAAGAGUUCAUAUCGACGGCGGUGUUUGGCACCUCGAUGUCGGCUCAUCACAUCCUGGGGCUGAAGUAGGUCCCAAGGGUAUGGCUGUUCGCCAUUUAAAGUGGUACGCGAGCUGGGUUUAGAACGUCGUGAGACAGUUCGGUCCCUAUCUGCCGUGGGCGCUGGAGAAUUGAGGGGGGCUGCUCCUAGUACGAGAGGACCGGAGUGGACGCAUCACUGGUGUUCGGGUUGUCAUGCCAAUGGCACUGCCCGGUAGCUAAAUGCGGAAGAGAUAAGUGCUGAAAGCAUCUAAGCACGAAACUUGCCCCGAGAUGAGUUCUCCCUGAGACUUUAAGUCUCCUGAAGGAACGUUGAAGACGACGACGUUGAUAGGCCGGGUGUGUAAGCGCAGCGAUGCGUUGAGCUAACCGGUACUAAUGAACCGUGAGGCUUAACCUU